GACGUAGGGCGCGAGCAUUGUCCGGAUUUAUUGGGCGUAAAGAGCUCGUAGGCGGCUCGUUGCGUCGGCUGUGAAAACCCGCAGCUCAACUGUGGGCUUGCAGCCGAUACGGGCGGGCUGGAGUUCGGUAGGGGAGACUGGAAUUCCCGGUGGAGUGGUGAAAUGCGUAGAGAUCGGGAGGAACACCAGUGGCGCAAGCGGCCCCCAAGCCUGAACCUGACGCUGAAGCGCGACAGCGUGGGGAGCAAACGGG
rnacentral:rRNA from 1 species